GGUCAGGAUGAACGCUGGCGGCGUGCUUAACACAUGCAAGUCGAACGGAGUUUUAACGGAAGUUUCGGAUGGAAGUUUAAAAACUAGUGGCGGACGGGUGAGUAACGCGUGGGUAACCUGCCUCAUACAGGGGGAUAACAGUUAGAAAUGACUGCUAACACCGCAUAAUAUAGCGAAACCGCAUGAUUUUGCUAUCAAAUAUUUAUAGGUAUGAGAUGGGCCCGCGUCUGAUUAGCUAGUUGGUGGGGUAAAAGCCUACCAAGGCGACGAUCAGUAGCCGGCUUGAGAGAGUGACCGGCCACAUUGGGACUGAGACACGGCCCAAACUCCUACGGGAGGCAGCAGUGGGGAAUAUUGGACAAUGGGGGAAACCCUGAUCCAGCGAACCGCCGCGUGAGUGAAGAAGUAUUUCGGUAUGUAAAGCUCUAUCAGCAGGGAAGAUAAUGACAGUACCUGACUAAGAAGCCCCGGCUAACUACGUGCCAGCCGCUGC
rnacentral:rRNA from 1 species